rnacentral:rRNA from 1 species
AUGGCACACCACAAGCAGCAGCAGCCGCCGUGUGGACUUGGCUCAAGUACUCGCGCCGUAGCACUUCCCUCUGUAGCAGCUCUCACUCGGAUCAACGCAAAUGGCGAGGGCGGUCCACCAGCUCUCCUUCUCCGCGCCGAGCAUGAGGUGCUGUCGCCGAAGCGUCGGCUGCUGCUGCGGAAGGUGCCGGGCGAGCACGGCCCGCCGUUGCUGGGCGCGCUCAAGGACCGGCUCGAGUACUUACACGGGCCAGCGUCCGCGCGCACUGCUCCACUAUGGUAUCAGAUAGGUUUCCUUCGAUCCUGCUCUAAUCGCCAUCGCUACAUCGCCGUCCUCGCUACAUCGCCGCCGACCCAUGACUUCCGCUGCUGA